rnacentral:lncRNA from 1 species
GCGCUAAUCCCGUGCCGAUCGCAUGUCGGCCGCGUGUGGGUUGCGUGUCAGUCCCGUGUUCGUUGCCGCCUGCCUGCCCUGACCCCGUGUUAAUCCCGCGUUGGCCCUGGGACUGUCGCGUGUCGUUGGCGUGUUAACCCGUGUUAAUCCCCCGCCCUCCCCCGUCCCGUGGCGAUCGCAUGUUUGUAGCAUGUUCGUUACAUGUUGGGACCUCCCCUGGUGCCGUGUUGGUCCCGUGUCAAUCCCGUGUUAAUCCCGUGUUAAUCCCCUGUCAUUCCCGUGUUAAUCCCGUCUUAAUCCCAGUUUUUUCCAACCCUACCCGUGUUAAUCCGUGUAAAUCCCGUGUUGUUCCCAUGUAAAUCCCAUGUUUAAACAGUUUUGCCUGUGUUAAUCCGUGUUAAUCCCAUGUAAAGCGCACUUUGUCCCCAGUUUCUGUCCCGUGUCAAUCCCGUGCCAAUCCCGUGUUAAUCCAGAUUCAAUCCCGUGUCAAUCCCGUAUCAAUCCAGAUUCCACACCCUGUCAAUCCCGUGUCAAUCCCGUGCCAAUCCCGUGUUAAUCCAGAUUCCACCCCAUGUCAAUCCCUUGUUAAUCCCAUGUUAAUCCAGAUUCUACCCUGGGUCAAUCCCAUGUUAAUUCAGAUUCCAUCGCAUGUCAAUCCAGAUUCCACCCUGUGUCAAUCCCAUGUUAAUCCAGAUUCCACCCCGUGUCAAUCCUGUGUUAAUCCAGAUUCAGUCCCACGUCGAUCCUGUUUCUACCCCGUGUCAAUCCCAUGUUAAUCCCAAUUCCACCCUGUGUCAGUCCCGUGUUAAUUCAGAUUGAAUCCCGUGUCAGUCCCAUGUCAAUCCCAUGUCAAUCCAGUGUCAAUCCCCUGUUAAUCCAGAUUCAAUCCUGUGCCAAUCCCAUAUCAAUCCCCUGUUAAUCCAGAUUCAAUCCAGUGUCAAUCCCAUGUUAAUCCAGAUUCAAUCCCAUGUCAAUCCGGAUUCCACAGCAUGUCAAUCCUGUGUCAAUCCCGUGUUAAUCCAGAUUCCAUCCCAUGUCAAUCCGGAUUCCACAGCAUGUCAAUCCCAUGUCAUUCCAGAUUUAAUCCCGUGUCAAUCCCAUGUUAAUCCAGAUUCAAUCCCAUGUCAAUCCGGAUUCCACAGCAUGUCAAUCCCGUGUCAAUCCCAUGUCAAUCCAGAUUUAAUCCCAUGUCACUCCCAUGUGAACCCAGAUUCUACCCCCUGUCAUUCCCAUGUUAAUUCAGAUUUAAUCCCGUGUCAAUCCCAUGUUAAUCCAGAUUCCACUUGUGCUAAUGCCAUGCCAAUCCCAUGUCAAUCCCAUGUUAAUCCCGUGUCAAUCCAGAUUCAAUCCUGUAUCAAUCCAGAUUCCACCCCGUGUCAAUCCCAUGUUAAUCCAGAUUUAAUCCCGUGUCAGUCCCAUGUUAAUCCAGAUUCCACCCCGUGCUAAUCCCGUGCCAAUCCCAUGUUAAUCCCGUGCCAAUCCCGUGCUAAUCCCAUGUUAAUCCCGUGCCAAUCCCAUGUUAAUCCGGUGUUAAUCCCGUGUUAAUCCCGUGUCCGUCCCGUGUUGCCCCCCAGGACCACCCCCCGUGGGACCACCGCCUCAUUAACCUCGGGCAUUAAUCACCCCUCCCCUAAUCACCCCCUCGCCCACAAUUAACGCCGUGUGCCUAAUUAAUUAAUUACCG